AGGAAAUUAUACCUAAUUAUUGAGUUAAAAAAAUCAGAAAUUAUGAAUUGUUUAGACUAAUAUUAAAGGAAAGAUAAUCACAGAAGGGUCAACAUUCAGUCGGGAUACUGUAUCAAACUUUAUUU